rnacentral:rRNA from 1 species
AUUGAACGCUGGCGGCAGGCUUAACACAUGCAAGUCGAGCGGAGUGAUGGUGCUUGCACUAUCACUUAGCGGCGGACGGGUGAGUAAUGCUUAGGAAUCUGCCAUUUCGUGGGGGACAACAUUCCGAAAGGAAUGCUAAUACCGCAUACGUCCUACGGGAGAAAGCAGGGGAUCUUCGGACCUUGCGCUAAUAGAUGAGCCUAAGUCGGAUUAGCUAGUUGGUGGGGUAAAGGCCUACCAAGGCGACGAUCUGUAGCGGGUCUGAGAGGAUGAUCCGCCACACUGGGACUGGGAGACGGCCCAGACGCCUACGGGAGGCAGCAGUGGGUAAUAUUGGACAAUGGGCGGAAGCCUGAUCUAGCCAUGCCGCGUGUGUGAAGAAGGCCUGAUGGUUGUAAAGCACUUUAAGCGAGGAGGAGGCUACUUUAGUUAAUACCUAGAGAUAGUGGACGUUACCCGCAGAAUAAGCACCGGCUAACUCUGUGCCAGCCGCCGCGGUAAAAC